GAUGAACGCUAGCGGGAGGCCUAACACAUGCAAGUUUAGCGGUAUUGUUUCUUCGGAAAUGAGAGAGCGGCGUACGGGUGCGGAACACGUGUGCAACCUGCCUUUAUCUGGGGGAUAGCCUUUCGAAAGGAAGAUUAAUACUCCAUAACAUAUUGAUUGGCAUCAAUUAAUAUUGAAAGCUCCGGCGGAUAGAGAUGGGCACGCGCAAGAUUAGCUAGUUGGUGAGGUAACGGCUCACCAAGGCGAUGAUCUUUAGGGGGCCUGAGAGGGUGAUCCCCCACACUGGUACUGAGACACGGACCAGACUCCUACGGGAGGCAGCAGUGAGGAAUAUUGGUCAAUGGGUGCAAGCCUGAACCAGCCAUCCCGCGUGAAGGACGACUGCCCUAUGGGUUGUAAACUUCUUUUGUAUAGGGAUAAACCUACCCUCGUGAGGGUAGCUGAAGGUACUAUACGAAUAAGCACCGGCUAACUCCGUGCCAGCAGCCGCGGUAAUACGGAGGGUGCAAGCGUUAUCCGGAUUUAUUGGGUUUAAAGGGUCCGUAGGCGGACUUAUAAGUCAGUGGUGAAAGCCUGUCGCUUAACGAUAGAACUGCCAUUGAUACUGUAAGUCUUGAGUAUAUUUGAGGUAGCUGGAAUAAGUAGUGUAGCGGUGAAAUGCAUAGAUAUUACUUAGAACACCAAUUGCGAAGGCAGGUUACCAAGAUAUAACUGACGCUGAGGGACGAAAGCGUGGGGAGCGAACAGGAUUAGAUACCCUGGUAGUCCACGCCGUAAACGAUGCUAACUCGUUUUUGGGCUUUAGGGUUCAGAGACCAAGCGAAAGUGAUAAGUUAGCCACCUGGGGAGUACGCUCGCAAGAGUGAGACUCAAAGGAAUUGACGGGGGCCCGCACAAGCGGUGGAUUAUGUGGUUUAAUUCGAUGAUACGCGAGGAACCUUACCAAGACUUAAAUGGGAAUUGACAGCUUUAGAAAUAGAGCUUUCUUCGGACAAUUUUCAAGGUGCUGCAUGGUUGUCGUCAGCUCGUGCCGUGAGGUGUUAGGUUAAGUCCUGCAACGAGCGCAACCCCUGUCACUAGUUGCCAUCAUUCAGUUGGGGACUCUAGUGAGACUGCCUACGCAAGUAGAGAGGAAGGUGGGGAUGACGUCAAAUCAUCACGGCCCUUACGUCUUGGGCCACACACGUAAUACAAUGGCCGGUACAGAGGGCAGCUACACAGCGAUGUGAUGCAAAUCUCGAAAGCCGGUCUCAGUUCGGAUUGGAGUCUGCAACUCGACUCUAUGAAGCUGGAAUCGCUAGUAAUCGCGCAUCAGCCAUGGCGCGGUGAAUACGUUCCCGGGCCU
rnacentral:rRNA from 1 species